GACGAACGCUGGCGGCGUGCCUAAUACAUGCAAGUAGAACGCUGAAGCGAGGAGCUUGCUCUUCUUGGAUGAGUUGCGAACGGGUGAGUAACGCGUAGGUAACCUGCCUUGUAGCGGGGGAUAACUAUUGGAAGCGAUAGCUAAUACCGCAUAACAAUGGAUGACACAUGUCAUUUAUUUGAAAGGGGCAAUUGCUCCACUACAAGAUGGACCUGCGUUGUAUUAGCUAGUAGGUGAGGUAAUGGCUCACCUAGGCGACGAUACAUAGCCGACCUGAGAGGGUGAUCGGCCACACUGGGACUGAGACACGGCCCAGACUCCUACGGGAGGCAGCAGUAGGGAAUCUUCGGCAAUGGGGGCAACCCUGACCGAGCAACGCCGCGUGAGUGAAGAAGGUUUUCGGAUCGUAAAGCUCUGUUGUAAGUCAAGAACGGGUGUGAGAGUGGAAAGUUCACACUGUGACGGUAGCUUACCAGAAAGGGACGGCUAACUACGUG
rnacentral:rRNA from 1 species